rnacentral:rRNA from 1 species
UACAGAGGUCUCGAGCGUUAGGCGGAAUCACUGGGCUUAAAGCGUGUGUAGGCGGAUUUGUAAGUACCUUGUGAAAUCCCACAGCUUAACUGUGGAACUGCUUGGUAUACUGCUUAUCUUGGGCCAUUUAGGGGCGAGCGGAACAAACGGUGGAGCGGUGAAAUGCGUAGAUAUCGUUUGGAACGCCAAUGGUGAAAACAGCUCGCUGGGAAUGUGCCGACGCUGAGACACGAAAGCCAGGGGAGCGAACAGG